rnacentral:misc_RNA from 1 species
GAUGAAGAACGCAGCGAAAUGCGAUAAGUAAUGCGAGUUGCAGAAUCCGUGAGUCAUCGAAUCUUUGAACGCACAUUGCGCCCUCUGGUAUUCCGGAGGGCAUGCCUGUUCGAGCGUCAUUAUCACCCCUCAAGCCCGGCUUGUUGUUGGAUGCAGCGCUUAUCCCGCUCCUCCCAAAGAUAAUGACGGCGUCUGCGACGACUCCUGUACACUGAGCUUUCGGGCACGUACACGGCUAGAAGUCCAGACCCGGUCGCCGUCCCCCCCGCGGGGACACCCAUUACCACAAGGUUGACCUCGGAUCAGGUAGGAAUACCCGCUGAACUUAAGCAUACAAUAAGCGGAGGA